rnacentral:rRNA from 1 species
UACGUAGGGUGCAAGCGUUGUCCGGAAUUAUUGGGCGUAAAGAGCUCGUAGGCGGUCUGUCGCGUCUGCUGUGAAAACUCAGGGCUUAACCCUGAGCUUGCAGUGGGUACGGGCAGACUAGAGUGCGGUAGGGGAGACUGGAAUUCCUGGUGUAGCGGUGAAAUGCGCAGAUAUCAGGAGGAAUACCGGUGGCGAAGGCGGGUCUCUGGGCAACAACUGACGCUGGAGGAGCGAAAGCCGUGGGGAGCGAACAGG